rnacentral:rRNA from 1 species
AACGAACGCUGGCGGCAUGCCUAACACAUGCCAGUCGAACGAGACCUUCGGGUCUAGUGGCGCACGGGUGCGUAACGCGUGGGAACCUGCCCUUAGGUUCGGAAUAACUCCCCGAAAGGGGUGCUAAUACCGGAUAAUGUCUUCGGACCAAAGAUUUAUCGCCUUUGGAUGGGCCCGCGUUGGAUUAGCUGGUUGGUAGGGUAAAAGCCUACCAAGGCGACGAUCCAUAGCUGGUCUGAGAGGAUGGUCAGCGACACUGGGACGGAGAAACGGCCCAGACUCCUACGGGAGGCAGCAGUGGGGAAUAUUGGACAGUGGGCGAAAGCAUGAUGCAGCAAUGACGCGUGAGUGAUGAAGGCCUUAGGGUUGUAAAGCUCUUUUACCCGGGAUGAUAAUGACAGUACCGGGAGAAUAAGCUCCGGCUAACUCCGUG